rnacentral:rRNA from 1 species
AUGGCCGUUACUGUUGCUGGGUACCUGAAGGUUGUCAUAAUCUCCGACCAAGUAUUCAUGAUAAGUUCAGCUGGACAGAGUGUUUGCUUCACGAUACUCCUGCUGUUGAUCAUGUCUCCAGCAGUUAUUGUUGCAAGAGCUCAGAAGACGGAACCGAAACAGCGAGAAGAGCCAGCUCUAGCACUGUGCUUGUUGGAUCUGGUCAGGACAUGUCGUCGCACAAAUAAAACCUGA